rfam:Xenopus tropicalis strain Nigerian Chr03_contig_3577, whole genome shotgun sequence.
GGCGCUGUGGCUUAGUUGGUUAAAGUGCCAGUCUAGUGAACAGGAGAUCCUGAGAUUGAUUCUCAGCAGUGCCU